rnacentral:rRNA from 1 species
GGGUUGUAAACCUUUUUUUUCCAGGAGGAAUAAUUGACGUGUACCUGAAGAAUAAGCAUCGGCUAACUCCGUGCCAGCAGCCGCGGUAAGACGGAGGAUGCAAGUGUUAUCCGGAAUCACUGGGCGUAAAGCGUCUGCAGGUGGCUAGACAAGUCAACUGUUAAAUCUUGAAGCUCAACUUCGAAAUCGCAGUCGAAACUAUCGAACUAGAGUAUAGUAGAGGUAAAGGGAAUUUCCAGUGGAGCGGUGAAAUGCGUAGAGAUUGGAAAGAACACCGAUGGCGAAGGCACUUUA